AUGAAACUUUUGAUUCUUUUUACGUUUUUUGGCCACAAGGCACCUACGCGUCGCAGGAUCCGCUGCGGCUCGGUCACCCCUCCCUUCUUCUUCGUCACAGGCCCGUCCCUCGUCCUCCCGGGGUCCGGCGCGACCCCAGCUCCCUGUACCUCCCCGUCAGGCGUCCUCCCGGGGUCCGGCGCGACCCCGGCCCACGGAACCUCCCCGUCGGGCGUCCUGCCGGGGUCAGGCGCGACCCCAGCUCCCUGUACCUCCCCGUCAGGCGUCCUCCCGGGGUCAGGCGCGACCCCGGCCCACGGAACCUCCCCGUCAGGCGUCCUGCCGGGGUCCGGCGCGACCCCAGCUCCCUGUACCUCCCCGUCAGGCAUCCUCCCGGGGUCAGGCGCGACCCCAGCCCCAUGUACCUCCCCGUCCCGCAUCCUCCCGGGGUCAGGCGCGACCCCAGCUCCCUGUACCUCCCCGUCAGGCGUUCUCCCGGGGUCAGGCGCGACCCCAGCUCCCUGUACCUCCCCGUCAGGCGUCCUCCCGGGGUCCGGCGCGACCCCAGCCCCAUGUACCUCCCCGUCCCGCAUCCUCCCGGGGUCAGGCGCGACCCCAGCUCCCUGUACCUCCCCGUCAGGCGUCCUCCCGGGGUCCGGCGCGACCCCAGCCCCAUGUACCUCCCCGUCCCGCAUCCUCCCGGGGUCAGGCGCGACCCCAGCUCCCUGUACCUCCCCGUCAGGCGUCCUCCCGGGGUCCGGCGCGACCCCGGCCCACGGAACCUCCCCGUCGGGCGUCCUGCCGGGGUCCGGCGCGACCCCAGCCCCAUGUACCUUCCCGUCCCGCAUCCUCCCGGGGUCAGGCGCGACCCCAGCUCCCUGUACCUCCCCGUCAGGCGUCCUCCCGGGGUCCGGCGCGACCCCGGCCCACGGAACCUCCCCGUCGGGCGUCCUGCCGGGGUCCGGCGCGACCCCGGCCCACGGAACCUCCCCGUCAGGCGUCCUGCCGGGGUCCGGCGCGACCCCAGCCCCAUGUACCUCCCCGUCCCGCGUCCUCCCGGGGUCAGGCGCGACCCCGGCCCCCUGUACCUCCCCGUCCCGCGUCCUCCCGGGGUCAGGCGCGACCCCGGCCCCCUGUACCUCCCGGUUCUCAGAGUAA
rnacentral:lncRNA from 1 species